rnacentral:rRNA from 1 species
UACGGAGAGUGCAAGGAAUGAUCGGAAUUACUGGGCGUAAAGGGCGUGUAGGCGGUUUUGUAAGUUUGGUGUGAAAUCCUGGAGCUCAACUCCAGAACGGCACUGAAUACUGCAAGACUUGAGCGUAGUUAGGGAAAGCGGAAUUCCACGUGUAGCGGUGAAAUGCGUAGAUAUGUGGAGGAACACCUGUGGUGAAGACGGCUUUCUGGGCUAUUGCUGACGCUGAGGCGCGAAAGCCGGGGGAGCAAAC